AAUGAUCCUGUGUCAUGGUUCCAAAAGCAAAUCUGAGGGAACAUGUUGGUCUUGAGUGAUCACAUAUCAAAAGAAAAGAAUGAGUUGAACUACAUCCGAUGCCAAAGAAUUCCAAAGCGCCUAGGUGCUGAUUGGCAUGACCUACCAGAAGAAAAGGUGCUUGCCAAAGCGCUCAGGUGUAUUGUCUUACAAUGUCUACAAAAUGCAGGUUAAAAUGUCUACUGGUCAAAUGGUGGAUUUGAUACCUCGGUGCUUGCCAAACACAGCCAAUAGGCACAAUCAGUGGAAGGGACUAUUUAGCCCCGAUGUACCAAUUAUGCAGUAUGAUUGUUAGUUGUUACAACUUACCUGGAUCGACAAGAGAGCAUUGUGAAGCUAGACUACUGAUGUCAACUGCAGCAGAAGCAUUUCUACAAAGCUUUAGAGCAUGAUUAGGAUAUUCAGAUCUCCUGCAACAAUGCGGAAAAGAAAUGAAUCAAAGGCAGGAAGCUAUAGGUCCCUAGAUUCAUCACAAGUGAGGAGUAAGAUGCUAUAUGCAAACUUCAAGGACAGGUUAAAGAGAGCUAAAUGGAUUUCAAGUGGAAUUGAAAGCUAUAGACCCCAUUAAGAUGAGCAUUGAUAUCAUCAAGGGCUGGGCUCUUCGCCCUUCAUCAUUUUUUUUUUCUUUCUUUCUUUAUUAAAAAAUCCCAACCAUCAAUAUCUUUCACUCAAUUCUCUUCUUCUUCUUCUUCUUUUGGCAUUUUUUCUAUUGAUAUUAUAUGUGAUUCAAUGUCUAGAAUGGCAACUUCAUUUAGUUUAACGGUUUAUGUUUCCUGGAUGUAGCUGCAAUGAGGUGAUGGGCCUUUGUAUUUUGGAUAUAUAUGGUGUGUUUUUUUUUUUCUUUCUUUAAGAUGGUAGUGGUUUGAUGGGUAACAGUUUUUUUUUUUUAAUUAUUGUCCUCAAUUUAAGUGAUCCAUCUUUACAGUCAUCAGACAAGGUUGGUUAAUGUGCUUGGCAGUCCAGACUAUUUAUUAGAUGGGCCACCUUUUUGAUGCGCCAUAGGCCAAAAAUCUUUUGGAGAUCGAGGGCUAUCUUUUUCCUACUUUUCUGUCAUUGUAACACUUUGUAAAUGUUGAUUAUGGUACAGUUGAGUUUGAAUUUCGUGCA